UUCUAGAUUUGGCCCCAGUCCUGGUUUCUAUACUCCUGUCUUAGGGGCUGACUCUCCCUCUUGUGACCUGUCUGCCAAUCAGGGGAAGCAGUCACUGGACAUCCUUCAGAUCUCCAAAAAGGGCCCCACCUACCUAAGACCCAGGAAUUCACUGAGGACAUACCCUUAAACACCCUGUGCCUACAGCCUUUUGCUCCUUGUUAUCUUAACCCCUUUUAUGUUAGCUUUUAACUACCUGAACCAUAACUAUUUCUUUCCUUACAUUUUGGGUCUUUUAUGUUUUAGGUCAUGCAUACCAAGCCAGCUGGACAGAUAAUUCUCUGGUUCAGCUUGGGGAAGCAGUAGCCAAAGCAAGUCCUUCUGACUGUUGGUAUAUUAUCUUUCCUCUACUUGCAAUAACGGUAAAGAGGAGAAGUCAGAAGAAAGAAGAGUAAUGGAUGAGGAAAUAAUAGGUGUGAAUUCUAGUGUGAAACAGAUACAAUUGGAAAAUCGAAAUAAUGUUGAUGGAAUUUAAUCAGAUGAGGAGACAGGGGAAAACAGAAUAAAAGACUUGCCCAGGAUCACAUGGCUGAAGCUCAAUUUGAACUCACAUCUCCCUGACUCCAGACCAGUGAUAUCCUAAAAAAAUUCCAGCAUAUACAACAACCACAAGAGAGGACCCACAAAAAAGGAGGAAUCAUGAAGCAAUGCAGAGAUGAAUCCAGGAAGACAUCAACACACAUGCAUAUGCACUUAUACAUAUAUAUGCAUGUGAGUAUGUACAAAUUACAUGUUUAUAUGUGUAUGUACACAUAUAUUCUCAAAAUUUCACAUUAGUACUGGGAAAAUUGACUGAGUUUUAAGGAGGAGAAAAUUUAUCAAUGUGUAUAUCAACAAUAAAAAUAUAUCAAUCAAUUUAGAAAAGUCCCCUGGCCAAAUAGACUGGUAUUGGUAUAAUAGAUAUAGGUAGGGCUAUAAUAGAGUCUUUCUUGCUACAAAACCCUUUUAUUUAAAACGAGGUUUUCUAAAAGUCUACCAUCUCAAUGUGGUAUUUUAUAAAUAUUUAAAUUAAAAUAUUUUUAAAAAUAAAGCAAAGAUCUAUUUCUCCUGCAAAGAUAAACUCAUGAUGUAAUCUAGAAAAAAAGAUAUUUUCUCCUUGUAAUAAUACUAGCAAAAGAGCUAGCCACAUUUCCUAUUAGUGAAAAAAAAGCACUUAAACUGCUUUAGUAUCCUACAAGUAUUGUAAAUGGCAGCUGCUAUUAGAACUUAUUUCAAUAAUGUAAUAGAUAUCCUUAUAAAACCUAAAUAUCUUAACAGAGGAUAAAUUAAAUUUGGCCAUCACAUGGCUUCCACAUGUAAAUCCAGCUUUUUUUUGAAAAAAAAUGUUUUGAUUUUUCCUUAAUGAUCUUGUCUAUUUUGCACAACAGAGUCCAGUAAAUUGUCUUCAUCUCUUCUGACAAUUUUAAGUUCUACUGCAAAGAAGGAAAUUUUUUAGUUUACUUCACUAAUUGCUAGAGAAAAGAAAAAACAAACACAUACACAUCUGCAUGCAAAUUAAACUGCACUUUAGUUUAAGCAACAAUUCAUAUGUACAAACCAUUACAAUGCUUCUUUACAGAGCAUGGAGGGGAGAAGUUAAAAAAUAUUUGGGAUAGCUAGGAUAUGAAAGAAUGGAAAUAUCUGGUGGUUGGGAUAGCGUUAGCUUUUUUUUUAAUAUGAAUUUAAUUUUUUUAAAUUUAUUUAGUCAAUUUAGAACAUUAUUCCUUGGUUACAAGAAUCAUAUUCUUUACCUCCCUCCCCUCUCCCCAGCCCUCCCAUAGACAACAUGCAAUUCCACUGGGUUUUACAUGUGUCCUUGAUCAGAACCUAUUUCCAUGUUGAUGUUUGCACUAGGAUGAUCAUUUGGAGCAGGGGUUCCCAAACUUUUUACACAGGGGGCCAGUUCAUUGUCCCUCAGACUGUUGGAGGGCCAGACUAUUAAAAACAAAACAAAACUAUGAACAAAUCUGUAUACCACUGUCUGGGAUAGUGGAGAUUGUAGUGCUGACUGUGAUGUGCCUCUCACACCUUACACAGGCCCAUCACUGUCACCACUAUACUGGGCAGCAGUAUAAAAAGAGUGGAAUCCCCUCUCCCAGAUUGCCGCUCACCAUGCUGACGUUUUCUAUUGUGCAGUCACAUAGUCUUUUGUGCUGCACCUUGUUCUCAUUCAGUUACUCUCAGAACAAGGUGUCACUCAAAAGAUUAUGUCACCAGAACUAGUAUUGUAUGUGAGCAACACUGCACUUUGCAGCACCACCACAUAUAGUGCUCCUCUCACUAACCACCAAUGAAAGAGGUGCCCCUUCUGGAAGUGUGGUGGGAGCUAGAUAAGUGGCCUUGGGAGGGCCACAUGUGGCCCAUGGGCCAUAGUUUGGGAACCCUUGAUUUAGAGUCUACAUCCCCAGCCAUAUCCCCUCAACCCAUGUAAUCAAGCAGUUGUUUUUCUUCAGUGUUUCUACUCCCACAGUUUUUCCUCUGAAUGUGGAUAGUGUUCUUUUUCAUAGAUCCCUCCAAGUUGUUCAGGAUCAUUGCAUUGCCACUAAUGGAGAAGUCCAUUACAUUAAA